rnacentral:SRP_RNA from 1 species
AAUGGGGAUAGGUAUCAUCUCUCAAACCCCGCCAGGACCGAAAGGUAGCAACGGUAAGAGUGCUCUGGUACGCUAUCCCCUUUCUU